UACGUUGAAACAUCGGUUCUCGUGCGAUAAUCGAAGUUAAGCAUCUUUGAACCUGGUCAGUUCUCAGAUGGUUGACCACUGGGGAAUACCAGGUGAUGCAAU